rnacentral:rRNA from 1 species
CCUAACACAUGCAAGUCGAACGGUAACAGGAAGAAGCUUGCUUCUUUGCUGACGAGUGGCGGACGGGUGAGUAAUGUCUGGGAAACUGCCUGAUGGAGGGGGAUAACUACUGGAAACGGUAGCUAAUACCGCAUAACGUCGCAAAACCAAAGAGGGGGACCUUCGGGCCUCUUGCCAUCGGAUGUGCCCAGAUGGGAUUAGCUAGUAGGUGGGGUAACGGCUCACCUAGGCGACGAUCCCUAGCUGGUCUGAGAGGAUGACCAGCCACACUGGAACUGAGACACGGUCCAGACUCCUACGGGAGGCAGCAGUGGGGAAUAUUGCACAAUGGGCGCAAGCCUGAUGCAGCCAUGCCGCGUGUAUGAAGAAGGCCU